CACUGCAGGGUACCAGGUAUCCUUGCACCUACCAACUUUCAAGAGACUAUCACAAACACCUGGGCCUCAGCAGAGCAAGGAAAUGUAUAGAGAAAGGCUCAAACUCAGCAGAAGUUCCAGUCUCUUCCAAAGGAUUCUGUGUGGGAUGUGAAACACAAACAUCUGGAGAACAUCCUCAGGUUUAACUGCUGGGCAGUGCAGAAAAUAUCUGGUGUGAUCUGAAACAGCUUUUUCUUCCCAUGAAAGUACACCUCUGGGACUGGGAAAUUUCAAAGGUUACGACUGGAUGCAGCUGUUACUGUGAUCAAGUAUUGCCACUUCUUUCUAAUUGCACAGCAGCUCGAAUGCAUGGGUGGAAAAUUAAGAGAAAUUUUCAGCAUCACCAUAUGUCUGACA